rnacentral:rRNA from 1 species
CAACCUGCCGUCUACUCUUGGCCAGCCUUCUGAAAGGAAGAUUAAUCCAGGAUGGGAUCAUGAGUUCACAUGUCCGCAUGAUUAAAGGUAUUUUCCGGUAGACGAUGGGGAUGCGUUCCAUUAGAUAGUAGGCGGGGUAACGGCCCACCUAGUCAACGAUGGAUAGGGGUUCUGAGAGGAAGGUCCCCCACAUUGGAACUGAGACACGGUCCAAACUCCUACGGGAGGCAGCAGUGAGGAAUAUUGGUCAAUGGGCGAUGGCCUGAACCAGCCAAGUAGCGUGAAGGAUGACUGCCCUAUGGGUUGUAAACUUCUUUUAUAAAGGAAUAAAGUCGGGUAUGCAAACCCGUUUGCAUGUACUUUAUGAAUAAGGAUCGGCUAACUCCGUGCCAGCAGCCGCGGUAAUACGGAGGAUCCGAGCGUUAUCCGGAUUUAUUGGGUUUAAAGGGAGCGUAGAUGGGUUGUUAAGUCAGUUGUGAAAGUUUGCGGCUCAACCGUAAAAUUGCAAUUGAUACUGGCAGUCUUGAGUACAGUUGAGGUAGGCGGAAUUCGUGGUGUAGCGGUGAAAUGCUUAGAUAUCACGAAGAACUCCGAUUG